rnacentral:rRNA from 1 species
AUUGAACGCUGGCGGCAUGCCUUACACAUGCAAGUCGAACGGUAACAGGUCUUCGGAUGCUGACGAGUGGCGAACGGGUGAGUAAUACAUCGGAACGUGCCCGAGAGUGGGGGAUAACGAGGCGAAAGCUUUGCUAAUACCGCAUACGAUCUCAGGAUGAAAGCAGGGGACCGCAAGGCCUUGCGCUCACGGAGCGGCCGAUGGCAGAUUAGGUAGCUGGUGGGAUAAAAGCUUACCAAGCCGACGAUCUGUAGCUGGUCUGAGAGGACGACCAGCCACACUGGGACUGAGAAACGGCCCAGACUCCUACGGGAGGCAGCAGUGGGGAAUUUUGGACAAUGGGCGCAAGCCUGAUCCAGCCAUGCCGCGUGCAGGAUGAAGGCCUUCGGGUUGUAAACUGCUUUUGUACGGAACGAAAAGACUCCUUCUAAUAAAGGGGGUCCAUGACGGUACCAUAAGAAUAAGCACCGGCUAACUACGUGCCAGCAGCCGCCGUAACAC